rnacentral:lncRNA from 1 species
CCUCACCAGAAACCAACCCUGCCAGCACCUUGAUCUUGGACUUCUAGCCUUCAGAACUACAGAGUGUCACUGUAUUGCCCAGGCUGGAAUGGAGUGGUGUAAUCUUGGCUCACUGCAACCUCCGCCUUCUGGGGGUUCAAGCGAUUCUCAUGCCUCAGCCUCCCGAGCAGGCGCACAACACCACGCCCGGCUAAUUUUUGUAUUUUUAGUAGAGAUGGGGUUUUGCUAUGUUGGCCAGGCUGGUCUGACACUCCUAGCCUCAAGUCUGGUCUGCCUGUCCUGGCCUCUCAAAGUACUAGGAUUACAGGCAUGAGCCACCGCACCCAGUCCUGAUUUUAUCUCUUGAUCAUCUGGAUUAAACUGUACCAGAAGACACUCCUGGGACUUUUGGAUUGCGCAAACAAAUAAAU